rnacentral:rRNA from 1 species
UCGUACGCGUGUAGCAAUACAUGAGUGGCGACCUGGUUAGUACAAGUUGGGUAACUUGCCCGAAAGUGGGGAACAACCUCUCGAAAGAGGGGCUAAUACCGCAUGUGGUCACGGGGACUUUGGUUUUUGUGACUAAAGCAGCGAUGCGCUUUCGGAUGGGCCCGACUCCCAUUAGUUUGUUGGUAAGGUAAUGGCUUACCAAGGCUACGAUGGGUAGCUGGUCUGAGAGGAUGGCCAGCAACACGAGGACUGAGAUACGGCCUCGACUCCUACGGGGGGCAGCAGUCUAGAGGCUUCGGCAAUGGGGGCAACCCUGACCGAGCGACGCCGCGUGCAGGGUGAAGGUCUUCGGAUUGUAAACUGCUUUCGAUUGGAAGGAACGUGGGGAUGGUGAGUCCCCGUUUGACUGACCGGUGAAAGAAGCCCCGGCUAACUUCGUGCCAGCAGCCGCGGUAAUACGAAGGGGGCGGGCGUUAUUCGGAUUUAUUGGGCGUAAAGGGCGUGUAGGCGGCUGGGGAAGUCUGGUGUAAAAACGCUGCCGCUCAACGGAGCGAUGCCGCUGGAAACUCCCCAAUUUGAGAGACGUAGAGGUGAGCAGAAUACCUGGUGUAGCGGUGGAAUGCUUAGAGAUCAGGUAGAAUAUCCGAGGCGAAGGCGGCUCACUGGACGUUUUCUGACGCUAAGGCGCGAAAGCGUGGGGAUCAAACGGGAUUAGAUACCCCGGUAGUCCACGCUGUAAACGGUGAACACUAGGUGUAGGGGGUACCCAUUCCCUCUGUGCCGUCGUUAACACUUUAAGUGUUCCGCCUGGGAAGUACGGCCGCAAGGUUGAAACUCAAAGGAAUUGACG